CCGGCUCCGGUUCACCCCAGUUCGGGGACCCGGCGGCC
rnacentral:ncRNA from 1 species